rnacentral:tRNA from 1 species
UCCCUCAUAGCUCAGUUGGUAAAGAAUCUGCCUGCAAUGCAGGAGAUCCCAGUUUGAUUCCUGGGUAGGGAA